AGUGAACGCUGGCGGUAGGCCUAACACAUGCAAGUCGAACGGCAGCACAGUAAGAGCUUGCUCUUACGGGUGGCGAGUGGCGGACGAGUGAGGAAUACAUCGGAAUCUACUUUUUCGUGGGGGAUAACGUAGGGAAACUUACGCUAAUACCGCAUACGACCUACGGGUGAAAGCAGUGGAUCUUCGGACCUUGCGCGAUUGAAUGAGCCGAUGUCGGAUUAGCUAGUUGGCGGGGUAAAGGCCCACCAAGGCGACGAUCCGUAGCUGGUCUGAGAGGAUGAUCAGCCACACUGGAACUGAGACACGGUCCAGACUCCUACGGGAGGCAGCAGUGGGGAAUAUUGGACAAUGGGCGCAAGCCUGAUCCAGCCAUACCGCGUGGGUGAAGAAGGCCUUCGGGUUGUAAAGCCCUUUUGUUGGGAAAGAAAAGCAGCAGGUUAAUACCCCGCUGUUCUGACGGUACCCAAAGAAUAAGCACCGGCUAACUUCGUG
rnacentral:rRNA from 1 species